UGGCUGGGCGUGGGAUCAUACCAAGUAUAGAAAGGGAGGGGGGUCGGUUGGCCGGAAGUUUGGUGCUAAAAACUUUUUUUUUGUUUGCAAUUCUGAUUUUCCGUUGUUUCUUGUUGUUUGGCUCGAGUCUGGGAGUGCCGUAGAGACUCACAAGAUUUCCGGGGCAUAAACCUCUGAGAGUGGAAGUUCCCUGUGUCAGGUCUGAGGUGAGGCAAAUGGGGCUUUCUCCACAGUAGCAGUUCCAUCUCAAUUGGAGGAAACCUUGGAUGUGGAUUUGUAUGACUUGUGUUGGAAGAACAGCGCACACUUAGGACUGGAUCCAACCAGCUUUCUCUGUCGGUGAAGGCAGAAGGGAGUCCCUUUUGACUGACAAAAUGUCCUUGCUGGAGAUCUCAGGGCCUGCGUGGACAAUGAGAAGCUGGACCAAUCCUGCCAUCUGAAGUAGAGUUACACCCUUCCAGGCUCUUUGAGGUUAAUAGCUUCAGAAGGCUUUCCUUAGGAUGGCACUGUUGGUGUAGAAAAACAGUUGAGAACCUUCAUGAAUCUCUUGCAGCAAAAAUACAUAGGAGUUUUGUGGUACCUAACAUGUUCUUAUGCCAACAUAACCUUUUUGGGACUAGAGCCCACUUUGUCAGACAUCUGAGGUGCGUCCUCGUUAUGCAGAUGCGUAUGCACACAUGGACCUGAAGAAAUAGAUUUUGCGUUUCAAACAAUUUUAUUAGUAACGUAUGGUAAUAAAUUUCAAUUUCUUACAUCAUGAA